GGAAUAUCAGGAUAUAAGAAGAGAGGAAUUCAGAAUUCAUGUAAUAACAGAAAUUGUCAAACUGAACAUAGUUUGUGUGUUAUGCUACAUUCUUUUUGAAAGAGUGAUGUGUUUUGCCUGUAUAUGGAAGAAUUUUAAAGAUAACUGUAUGCCCAUUGUUUAUCUUCUUAUCAGCUACCUCAACUUUUCUUCUAUAACGUGCAUGUAGGUAACUGUAAAUUCUGG
rnacentral:misc_RNA from 1 species